GCCUUCGUGGUAUAAUGGUCAGCACACACGGCUCGUAUUCGAGAGGCCGAAGGUUCGAGUCUCGGCGAGGGCA
rnacentral:tRNA from 1 species